rnacentral:rRNA from 1 species
UCACUUGUCUUUUAAAUGAAGACCUGUAUGAAUGGUGGAACGAGGGCUUGACUGUCUCCCUCAUCUAGUCAAUGAAAUUGAUCUACCCGUGCAGAAGCGGGUAUUAUAAUACAAGACGAGAAGACCCUUUGGAGCUUAAGACAAAAGACCAACUAUGUCAAGAGUACUAAAAAUGAAACUAAACCCAAUAACACUGGUCCCAGUCUUCGGUUGGGGUGACCGCGGGAGAAAAUUAAGCUCCCAUGUGGACUGGGGCAACCCCCCAAAACUAAGAAAGACAUCUCUAAGGCACAGAACAUCUGACCAUAAAGAUCCGGCUAUGCGCCGACCAACGGACCAAGUUACCCUAGGGAUAACAGCGCAAUCCCCUUCCAGAGUCCC